rnacentral:rRNA from 1 species
ACGAACGCUGGCGGCGUGCCUAAUACAUGCAAGUAGAACGCUGAAUGCGGAGCUUGCUUCUCUGGAUGAGUUGCGAACGGGUGAGUAACGCGUAGGUAACCUGCCUGGUAGCGGGGGAUAACUAUUGGAAACGAUAGCUAAUACCGCAUAAUAGUAGAUGUUGCAUGACAUUUGCUUAAAAGGUGCAAUUGCAUCACUACCAGAUGGACCUGCGUUGUAUUAGCUAGUUGGUGGGGUAACGGCUCACCAAGGCGACGAUACAUAGCCGACCUGAGAGGGUGAUCGGCCACACUGGGACUGAGACACGGCCCAGACUCCUACGGGAGGCAGCAGUAGGGAAUCUUCGGCAAUGGACGGAAGUCUGACCGAGCAACGCCGCGUGAGUGAAGAAGGUUUUCGGAUCGUAAAGCUCUGUUGUAAGAGAAGAACGAGUGUGAGAGUGGAAAGUUCACACUGUGACGGUAUCUUACCAGAAAGGGACGGCUAACUACGUG